rnacentral:rRNA from 1 species
GAACUUUCCAGAGAUGGAUUGGUGCCUUCGGGAACUGUGAGACAGGUGCUGCAUGGCUGUCGUCAGCUCGUGUUGUGAAAUGUUGGGUUAAGUCCCGCAACGAGCGCAACCCUUAUCCUUUGUUGCCAGCGGUCCGGCCGGGAACUCAAAGGAGACUGCCAGUGAUAAACUGGAGGAAGGUGGGGAUGACGUCAAGUCAUCAUGGCCCUUACGACCAGGGCUACACACGUGCUACAAUGGCGCAUACAAAGAGAAGCGACCUCGCGAGAGCAAGCGGACCUCAUAAAGUGCGUCGUAGUCCGGAUUGGAGUCUGCAACUCGACUCCAUGAAGUCGGAAUCGCUAGUAAUCGUGGAUCAGAAUGCCACGGUGAAUACGUUCCCGGGCCUUGUACACACCGCCCGUCACACCAUGGGAGUGGGUUGCAAAAGAA